rnacentral:lncRNA from 12 species
AUGAUUAGAAUGUGCUUGAGAGAGGGGAAACAGCCAAGGACAUGGUCAGCUGGCCCUGAGACACCAUGGAGACAAGUAAACACUGGAUUAUUAUUUCCACCACUUCUUUCUACCACUCUGAAUGUGGUAGAUAUUGCGAUAAAUAAGACCUCUGAAGGAAGAUUCUGGGCCUCAGCUCACAGUUCUGGGCUUCUCUCUGGACAUCCACUGUGGAAGACAGCAUCUAACGAGUUCGGUGCAGCAGGCCAGGAAGAUGCAGAAAACGUCAUCCAGCGAGUGGUACUUCCAGAUGGCCAGGUGACAACGGAGCCCUACCAAACAAGUCCCAGGAAAAUGUACAAACUCCACAUGAAGUUUUAUAGGCUUCUGAGGAAGUGGUAUAGCGUUUGGACCAUGUGA